CGUCAACCAAACGUAUCGUUCUAAAGGGGAAGAAUGAUAAACAUAUUUACUUUCGAGAAACAUGGUAUGGGGUUAAAACCCCAUCCCUGCACAAUCCAUGUGUAGAAUGUGGCCAGGUCCUGCUUGCUGAGCUGCAAGUCAAUUCGAGACGGCCCGCGGUGCAAGAGAAGCCAGGCUGCGCUCUGGGCAAUUAGUUCAGGGAGAGGACUGGGAGCAGCAGAGCCUGGGUGGCUGGAUAUGCACGGUGGAGGAAAUGAACAAAUUAUUUUAAAGAGAGCAAAUCCAGAAAGAAAAGCAGCAGGUAUUAUUUUAAAUCAGUUUGGUGAAUUCGAUUUCUCAUCUAAACCUUUUGAAAAAUAAUAUACGCUUUGGAGUAACAGACCGCAGUUGCAACAAGAAACACUCCCAAUGCAAACAUCAUAAAAAGAUAGGGGCAGUGAAACACAAGAAUAACCUAGGAAACCCUUUCCAUCCCCUCACCAGUCUGUGUGAAGACGUGUCCCCUCUGUGCUAAGUCUGUCUCCAUAUCCAACUGUGUCCACUAGUCCUGCUGUCUUUGCUUAAAGUAUUGGCUAACUCUUUCAACUCUUUUUACAAUUUCAAUCAAGUCCCUCCUAAUUCUUCUUCAUUCUGGGGUACAUAGAUUCGGUUUCCAGUCUUCACAGCUCAUUCCUUUAAGCCCUUGGAUUCGUGUGCUUGCCCUUCUUUCCAGCACACACUGA